rfam:Triticum urartu cultivar G1812 contig312393, whole genome shotgun sequence.
AAAGUACUCCCUUCGUUCGAAAAUACUUGUCAUUGAAAUGGAUGUAUCUAAAUGUAUUUUAAUUAUAGAUACAUCCAUUUUCAUUCAUUUUGAUGACUAGUAAUUCCUGACGGAGAGAGUAUUAC